rfam:Schistosoma haematobium scaffold165_67, whole genome shotgun sequence.
AUCGAACUGACGAAUCCCAAAUAGGACGAAACGCGCGUCCUGGAU